rnacentral:tRNA from 1 species
GGGUAUGGCUCAGAAGUAGAGAGCGUGCUUGGCAUGCAUGAGGUCCUGGGUUCAAUUCCCAGUUCCUCCA